rnacentral:rRNA from 1 species
CCCAGCUUGCUGGGUGGAUUAGUGGCGAACGGGUGAGUAACACGUGAGUAACCUGCCCUUAACUCUGGGAUAAGCCUGGGAAACUGGGUCUAAUACCGGAUAGGAGCGUCCACCGCAUGGUGGGUGUUGGAAAGAUUUAUCGGUUUUGGAUGGACUCGCGGCCUAUCAGCUUGUUGGUGAGGUAAUGGCUCACCAAGGCGACGACGGGUAGCCGGCCUGAGAGGGUGACCGGCCACACUGGGACUGAGACACGGCCCAGACUCCUACGGGAGGCAGCAGUGGGGAAUAUUGCACAAUGGGCGAAAGCCUGAUGCAGCGACGCCGCGUGAGGGAUGACGGCCUUCGGGUUGUAAACCUCUUUCAGUAGGGAAGAAGCGAAAGUGACGGUACCUGCAGAAGAAGCACCGGCUAACUACGUGCCAGCAGCCGCGGUAAUACGUAGGGUGCGAGCGUUAUCCGGAAUUAUUGGGCGUAAAGAGCUCGUAGGCGGUUUGUCGCGUCUGUCGUGAAAGUCCGGGGCUUAACCCCGGAUCUGCGGUGGGUACGGGCAGACUAGAGUGCAGUAGGGGAGACUGGAAUUCCUGGUGUAGCGGUGGAAUGCGCAGAUAUCAGGAGGAACACCGAUGGCGAAGGCAGGUCUCUGGGCUGUAACUGACGCUGAGGAGCGAAAGCAUGGGGAGCGAACAGGAUUAGAUACCCUGGUAGUCCAUGCCGUAAACGUUGGGCACUAGGUGUGGGGACCAUUCCACGGUUUCCGCGCCGCAGCUAACGCAUUAAGUGCCCCGCCUGGGGAGUACGGCCGCAAGGCUAAAACUCAAAGGAAUUGACGGGGGCCCGCACAAGCGGCGGAGCAUGCGGAUUAAUUCGAUGCAACGCGAAGAACCUUACCAAGGCUUGACAUGUUCUCGAUCGCCGUAGAGAUACGGUUUCCCCUUUGGGGCGGGUUCACAGGUGGUGCAUGGGUUGUCGUCAGCUCGUGUCGUGAGAUGUUGGGUUUAAGUCCCGCAACGAGCGCAACCCCUCGUUCCAUGUUGCCAGCACGUCGUGGUGGGGACUCAUGGGAGACUGCCGGGGUCAACUCGGAGGAAGGUGAGGACGACGUCAAAUCAUCAUGCCCCUUAUGUCUUGGGCUUCACGCAUGCUACAAUGGCCGGUACAAUGGGUUGCGAUACUGUGAGGUGGAGCUAAUCCCAAAAAGCCGGUCUCAGUUCGGAUUGGGGUCUGCAACUCGACCCCAUGAAGUCGGAGUCGCUAGUAAUCGCAGAUCAGCAACGCUGCGGUGAAUACGUUCCCGGGCCUUGUACACACCGCCCGUCAAGUCACGAAAGUUGGUAACACCCGAAGCCGG